rnacentral:tRNA from 1 species
GGAGAGAUGGCUCAGUGGUUAAGAGCACUGACUGCUCUUCCAGGAGUCCUGAGUUCAAUUCCCAGCAACCACA